AGGACGGCAAAAGAUGCAGAAGGCUCCCAAGGCCAAACCAAGCCUUUUGAGGAGGGUCAGCACCCUGGCCAACACUCUUUCUCGACACACCAUGCAGACCACAGCACGGGCCCUGAAGCGGGGUCACUCUCUGGCCAUGUGGAUCCCGGGUGUGGCACCCCUGGUGAGUGUCUGCUCUGAGUUCUGCUUGGCCCUGGUCCCUUCUGUCUUGGAAACAUCCUUCAAGCUGGACUGGGACAUUAGACAUAAAGCCAGGGGACCUAAGAGGCUGGUGGGCUAGUUGUCCAGGCCAUGGAAGAACAUGGCGCAAACGGAGAGGUGGUCCUGCCCCACCAGCCUCCCUCGGAGCCUCUCAGACUCCCAGCCUUCAGGACCCCAUGUGGUCCUCCCCCAUCCCCAUUUGCUAUUAAAACAGUAGAAGUGUCACCCACAAACAAACAAACCAACCCAUAAAACCCGUUCAGUGGAUGCGAGUCCCACUAGCUGUCAUCCUGACUGCAGAUUACAGUCUAGGAAUUUCUAGGGUUUUUGGCUGCCCCAGCACAGCCAGGCAAAGAUGCUUCCCUGUUCAUCUUGAUACAGUUAAGAUGAUCUUUUAAAAAAAAAAUAAGGAACUUAGUGAGAAACUAAAUUGAAAAAAAAAGGGGGGGAGGGAAACAAGGGAGAAAAAGGCAACAUUAAAGUCAGAUGUGGGGGUUGGGGAUUAAGCUCAGUGGUAGAGCGCUUGCCUAGCAAGCGCAAGGCCCUGGGUUCGGUCCCCAGCUCUGAAAAAAAAAAGAA
rnacentral:lncRNA from 1 species